GAUGAACGCUGGCGGCGUGCCUAAUACAUGCAAGUCGAGCGAAGCGGGGACGGGUGAGUAACACGUGGAUAACCUCCUCUAAGACUGGGAUAACUUCGGGAAACCGGAGCUAAACCGGAUACUUAUAGAUGGAUUCGCGGUGCAUUAGCUAGUUGGUAAGGUAACGGCGUACCAAGGCAACGUUCAAUACCCGACCUGAGAGGGGGAUCGUCCACACGGGAACUGAGCAACGGCCCAGAUUCCUACGGGAGGCAGCAGUAGGGAAUCUUCCGCAAUGGGCGAAAGCCUGAUGCAGCCAUGCCGCGGGUAUGAAGAAGGCCUUCGGGUGGUAAAGUACUUUCAGCGGGGAGGCGUUACCCGCAGAAGAAGCACCGGCUAACUACGUGCCAGCAGCCGCGGUAAUUC
rnacentral:rRNA from 1 species